rnacentral:rRNA from 1 species
AUACGGAGGAUCCGAGCGUUAUCCGGAUUUAUUGGGUUUAAAGGGUGCGCAGGCGGCCAUUUAAGUCAGCGGUUAAAUCGUGGGGCUCAACCCCAUUCUGCCGUUGAUACUGGGUGGCUUGAUUGCGGUCGAGGUUGGCGGAAUUCGUUGUGUAGCGGUGAAAUGCAUAGAUAUCACGAAGAACUCCGAUCGCGAAGGCAGCCUUCCGGCCCGUCAACGACGCUCAUGCUCGAAGGUGCGGGUAUCAAACAGGAUUAGAUACCCUGGUAGUCCGCACAGUAAACGAGGGACGCCCGCGGUUUGGCCUAUAUGGCUGAGCCGCCAAGCGAAAGCGUUAAGUGUCCCACCUGGGGAGUACGCCGGCAACGGUGAAACUCAAAUGAAUUGGCGGGG